GCGUGCUCGAAAAUGUUAAAGUUCUUAUUUCAUGGUAUAACUUUGGUAUGCUUGGACCUAGAGUCUUCAAACUUGACAUGAAGGUUGGCCAGGAUUAACAGAUGACCACUGGUCAUUUCAAGGUAUUUCAUUUGAAGGUCACUGUGACCUUCAAUAUAAAAAUGUUAAAGUUGUUAUAACUUUGGUAUGCUUGGACCUAGAGUCUUGAAACUUGACAUGAAGGUUGGCCAGAACUAGUAAGUAACCACUGGACAUUUCAAGGUCAUUCAUUUGAAGGUCAAGGUCACUGUGACCUUGAAUGUAAAAAUGUUAAAGUUGUUAUAACUUUGGUAUGCUUGGACCUAGAGUCUUGAAACUUGACAUGAAGGUUGGCCAGAACUAGUAAGUAACCACUGGACAUUUCAAGGUCAUUCAUUUGAAGGUCAAGGUCACUGUGACCUUGAAUGUAAAAAUGUUAAAGUUCUUAUUUCAUGUUAUAACUUUGGUAUGCUUGUACCUAGAGUCUUCAAACUUGAAAUAAAGAUUGGCCAGUA